rnacentral:lncRNA from 1 species
CCCAGGAUGUUAGAAAGACAAGGUGGAUGAGGUAAUAUCUUUUAUUGGACCAACUUUUCUCAGUGAAAUAAAGAUCCAGUAAAAGAUAUUACCUCACCCACCUUGUCUCUCUAAAUUUGGCUGGACAGACAUAAUUUACUUUAAUUCUUCUGCAUUUAAUAUCUGGCUAAUUUCCAAGGAUUUUUCUCAUGAGUUGGAGAGUACAGGGCUGGGGAGAAGUAGUUUCUUCCUGCUGGGAGACUGAGGGGAUUGGUACUAGCUCCCUGCCUUCCUGUUGAAUAAAACAUCUCUUCCCUUCGAUUAGGCUGCCAAUAUGACCUAUCUCCCCAACUGGUGCACUGGGCCAAGAACCAGCAAGGGAAAGCAGACUACACUGGGGUGUUAAACUGAGGGCACAGAGGAACCAGUAUGGAAUAAUUAAGCCUGUUGUCUUGAGUGCAUUAAGGAUUAAGGUCCAGAUCCUCAAAAGGCACUUAGGUAACUUCCACUGAGAGCUGAAAAAGUGAGCAAAGAGAAAUUAUUGCAGCGCAGAGUUCAUUGCAAAUUGUGCAGAUUAUGGAUAAAACUGAGCUAAAUUGAGAAUUACAGAGCAGCAGUGACAGUCUGCAAUUGGCCACUAAAAUGGUUAUUACAGGGUGAAUGUAUGAAUGAAUAGCUCCAAUACAUGAGCCAGUCAUACCUAAUUCAGCUCACACAAACAAAUGAAUUUGUUUUUGAAUUGCAGAGUUCACUAGAGGCCAAAAAUGCUGAAGGUCGAAAACAUAUUACGACACCACUUCUGCCAAAUCUACUUCAUUGAACUAUUUUUAACUCCUCACUAAAGAUGGGCAGCAAUGAGGCCAAAUGCAAGCAUGAGAGGAAGUUCUAAAUACACCCAAGCACGGAUGACAAAAUUACACAAGAGGUUUGUGCCUGCAGUAUCCACUCUCAUAACAGAGGAGAAACUCCCGUUUUGUGAUUCCAUAAGGUGAAUUAAUGUAAAGCAAUACGUUCUGGAAGAAGAAUUCUAGGAGAAAACAUUGCAAACGGUUGGGAAUAUCCAACAGAAUCUUCUACCUAUUUGACAUAUGCAAUUAAUGCUUGGGAUAAUUU